GGAGCUAGUUGUGGAUGUGCUUUUUGCUGUGUAUUCAAUCAGCAGUGGCUGGAUUGUUUGUCCCCUGUAAGAUGGAAUGCAAGAAAAGAGUUUAUGUAGAUCAUCCUGUAGUGAUAUCAAAUGAUCAUAUUAUUAUCUUUCCUUUUGAAGGCAUUACUAUAAUAUUUUUAGCACUCAAUUUGGAUCCAAAACUUUAAACUGAUAUAUUACUUUAUAAUUUUAGUUAUUGAAUUAUUUUGAAAUUACUAUAUUUCACGCUUAAAAUAUUUAUGUUUUACUAAUUGUAGAAGUGGGAGCUAAACUGUCAUGUUCAACAGCUGAUUUGUAAAGUUUAAAUUUGAUAUGCCCAUUGAAAAAUUAAACUAUUAGAAAAGGGGUUGUUGUGUGUAUUACCAUUUAUGUAACUCUCUGGCUUGGGUCCAUGAGUAUUGUCGUAUUGUACCUAUUUGACAAACCUGUGUAAAUAAGGUGAAGUAAUCUUGAGUACUUAUUUAUAUAUUAGAAAUAUAUAUAUAUAAAUAUUGAGAGGAUAAUAAUCGUUUUCUUUACCUGCUGUAGAUUUUGCCACUCUUUUAGCUAAAAUGACAGGAUAAUCAUUGAGCCUUUCUAUGAGGAUAUUUCCAUAAUGCACAACAAAGUCCUCCCAUAGGGUAGCUUUUUGGGUUUUUUCUUGUUAAAUUGAUAAAGCAAAAGGGGUAGAGAUGAUAGUAAGAACAUAUUGUAAUAAUCAUGUAGCAGCAAGAUUUGGACAGAUGCAUUUUGUUGGAAAAUUUUAAUUCUGGUCUUCACUUUCAGUAGUUCUAUACAAAUAAAAUAAAAUAAAAAACAAAAGCAGCAAGAAUGAGGUAAGUAAAUACAACAACAAAAACAAAUGGAAAAAUGUGUGGAUUCUUUCUUUGUACUUGCUUAUUUGAGUCCAUGUAAAAAAGAGCAUUACAUUACAUUACAUAUAUAUAGAGAGAGAAGUAACGAAGAUUCUUGCUAAUAUGGGAAAAUAACCUCUGCCAAAAUUAGGACUUGCAGAUAUUUUUUUUGAUUUUUUCACUUACAAAAUGUAAAGGUCAAAAAUAUCAGGUUGGUAUACUGUGCUUAAAAUGGCAGAAUCAAAACAAUGCACCACCUAAAAAUUCAUUUUCAAUAACACAUUAAAGUAGAAAACUUUCCUUCACAUAAAAGGUCAAAAACUGAAUCACAAUUUUGAAAUGUGUAGUAAUAUCAACAUUUCACAAUACAUGAAUGCUAACUGUCCAUGAAAAUCAGGAAAGAAACUCUUAAGCUCUCCUCAUAUAACAAUAUAAAUACUACUCUUUAUUUCUCCUUUUCACAAUCAUCAAAAGAUCAUAAGGCUUAGUGUUUUAACUAUCUAUUAGACAACAGACACACUAAGCCAGUGUAAUUGGCUAUAGAUUUUGAGAAUUUUAUCUGCAAAUGUAUGUUUAGCCAUGAAAUUAGAUCAGAUUUUUAUUUUCAUCAAAUAUUUUCAAGUUUCUAAUAAACUUGCUCACAAUGCAAGACUAACAAAUUCAGAUUUAAGAAAACACCAAAGACAACAACAUUCCUGAAAAUACAGCUAAACAAUCCUAUUUAUAUAGUAACCUUACUACUGGUUAUCAGUUACUUCCAUGAAAGACAAUCAGCUAAUAAAAAACAACUCAUUGAGAAAACAUGUUGAGGAGAUCUAUAGUUUAACAACUAAAGUCUGGAGAAUGUUUAAGAUCAUAUAUGUGUUGUAUUAAGUUGUUCAGCGAAUCUUUACAACUAAAUAUAUGUUUAGAGAAAAGAAGACAUGGAGAUAUUAAAAUAAUUUGAUUUGGUUGGUCCAAUAACUGCAGGGAAGGUACAAUAUAAACUAAAAUAGUGAAACUUAAAAACCAAACAGAAUAGUUAUAUUUUCACAGAUGAAAUGAAAUAAAUAAAGUUGAAAGCAUGGACUUACAAUGUAUCCAUGAUGAUAAAUUCUUGUAUUCUCUUUCCAUUGGCCGCGUAGCUUGGAGGGGAGGCGUUAAUCAGUAGUGCAAGAACGUCUCCAUGUAAGUGGAGAUUUUCAUUAAUAAGUUGAGCAUGAUUGUAGAAAUAUAAGCGAUGGAGAUUUUGGAAUUACCGAAUUCAGCGUCUUUGGCUUGCUGGUCG
rnacentral:lncRNA from 1 species